CUGAUUUAGUUUAUUAAAAUGUUGCAUUGUGGUUGUAAAGAUAGAUUUUUCUAAUUGGU
rnacentral:tRNA from 1 species